UUUCUUAUAAUUCUUCGAUUGAGGAACAGACGAAGAUUCGAUUUUCAUGGUGGUAUUCAUUUCCUCCUGACCUGUUAGAUGAUUUUCAAAGAGAUCUACACUUCGAGAGGCCUUUUUGCUUACCAUUGACAUAGAGUUCUUGAGUUCUUUCCAUGACGGCUCUAAGAGAACUUCCCACAAACAGAGUUUUGACAAAGCUGUUAUAUAGAUGGACGGAGGUUGGCGGCAAGUGCGUCAUAUUUUGGUAAAGCUGUUUACCGUUGACUUGGAAUUCUUAUAACCUUCUAAUUGGCGGCUUUAAGAAAACUUCUUAUACACAACGCUGUUAAAAUAGGCUGAGUUUGGUGAAACAGAUGGAUCUUAUUGUAAUCUUAUUGGCUCGAGUGUCCACUUGAAAAAAAGUUCUUACUUUCUUUUGUUAGUAUCUAUUUUGUGGAUUUAGAAGUCAACAACGAUAGUGCUUAAUGUAUCAAAUUAUCAAUUAACACGAAUCAAGCAA